CUGUGACUCCUACGGGAGGCAGCAGUGGGGAAUAUUGCACAAUGGGCGCAAGCCUGAUGCAGCAACGCCGUGUGAGUGAAGAAGGUUUCGGAUCGUAAAACUCUGUCCUAAGGGAAGAAACAAAUGACGGUACCUUAGGAGGAAGCCCCGGCUAACUACGUGCCAGCAGCCGCGGUAAUACGUAGGGGGCAAGCGUUAUCCGGAAUCACUGGGCGUAAAGGGUGCGUAGGCGGCUUAGCAAGCCAGGGGUGAAAGGCAUUGGCUCAACCAAUGUAAGCCUUUGGAACUGUUAAGCUUGAGUGCAGGAGAGGUAAGUGGAAUUCCUAGUGUAGAGGUGAAAAUUCGUAGAUAUUAGGAGGAACACCAGUGGCGAAGGCGACUUACUGGACUGUAACUGACGCUGAUGCACGAAAGCGUGGGUAGCGAACAGGAUUAGAUACCCUGUAG
rnacentral:rRNA from 1 species